UGGGGAAUUUUGGACAAUGGGCGAAAGCCUGAUCCAGCAAUGCCGCGUGUGUGAAGAAGGCCUUCGGGUUGUAAGCACUUUUGUCCGGAAAGAAAUCCUUGGCUCUAAUACAGUCGGGGGAUGACGGUACCGGAAGAAUAAGCACCGGCUAACUACGUGCCAGCAGCCGCGGUAAUACGUAGGGUGCAAGCGUUAAUCGGAAUUACUGGGCGUAAAGCGUGCGCAGGCGGUUUGCUAAGACCGAUGUGAAAUCCCCGGGCUCAACCUGGGAACUGCAUUGGUGACUGGCAGGCUAGAGUAUGGCAGAGGGGGGUAGAAUUCCACGUGUAGCAGUGAAAUGCGUAGAGAUGUGGAGGAAUACCGAUGGCGAAGGCAGCCCCCUGGGCCAAAUACUGACGCUCAUGCACGAAAGCGUGGGGAGCAAACAGGAUUNGAUACCCUGGUAGUCCACGCCCUAAAACGAUGUCAACUAGUUGUUGGGGAUUCAUUUCCUUAGUAACGUAGCUAACGCGUGAAGUUGACCGCCUGGGGAGUACGGUCGCAAGAUUAAAACUCAAAUGAAUUGAC
rnacentral:rRNA from 1 species